rnacentral:misc_RNA from 1 species
GAAAUGCGAUAAGUAAUGUGAAUUGCAGAAUUCAGUGAAUCAUCGAAUCUUUGAACGCACAUUGCGCCCCCUGGUAUUCCGGGGGGCAUGCCUGUUCGAGCGUCAUUUCACCACUCAAGCCUCGCUUGUUAUUGGGCGACGCGGUCCGCCGCGCGCCUCAAAUCGACCGGCUGGGUCUUCCGUCCCCUCAGCGUUGUGGAAACUAUUCGCUAAAGGGUGCCGCGGGAGGUCACGCCGCAAAACAACCCCAUUUCUAAGGUUGACCUCGGAUCAGGUAGGGAUGCCCGCUGAACUUAAGC